GAUGAACGCUAGCGAUAGGCUUAACACAUGCAAGUCGAGGGGCAGCAUGGUCUUAGCUUGCUAAGACUGAUGGCGACCGGCGCACGGGUGCGUAACGCGUAUGCAACUUGCCUCACAGAGGGGGAUAACCCGUCGAAAGACGGACUAAUACCGCGUACACUUGGGAUAGGGCAUCCUGACCCAAGGAAAUGAAAUUCGCUGUGAGAUAGGCAUGCGUCCCAUUAGCUAGUUGGUGAGGUAACGGCUCACCAAGGCGACGAUGGGUAGGGGAACUGAGAGGUUGAACCCCCACACUGGUACGGAGACACGGACCAGACUCCUACGGGAGGCAGCAGUGAGGAAUAUUGGUCAAGGGGCGAGAGCCUGAACCAGCCAAGUCGCGUGAAGGAUGACUGUCUUAUGGAUUGUAAACUUCUUUUAUACGGGAAUAACAAGAGCCACGUGUGGCUCCCUGCAUGUACCGUAUGAAUAAGCAUCGGCUAACUCCGUG
rnacentral:rRNA from 1 species